rnacentral:lncRNA from 1 species
AAAGGACAAAUAAGCUGGAGAGGACGACUCAGACGCUUUCAUUUUUAACUAUUCACCAAUGGAGGAGAAGGCAGAAUGCCUAAGCUAGGUCUCGGUGGCCAAUAGGGUAGCUGUGUGUCUCCCACAUGACUCGCUGCCCCUGUCUUUCACAUGGGCUGUAAUUUAGUUCAAUUCAGAACUGCAGAUAGUACAGGCUUCAGAGCAGCCAGAGAUGCCUGUGCACAAGUGCCUGAGCUCCGAGGGACUUUGGGAAACACUUGGCUAUCCCCCUCCUGCCUGGACCCCGGGACUCUGCACCUGCAGGACAGACAGCCCGGCCGCCGCCUCUGCCGUGCCUCCGGGGACGAGGAACCAGCACAGAUAACCGUUUGGAAAUGGGAUCAUGGCAAAAUUACCAACAAGUCCGUAAAGGAAACUGAAGGCGGUUUGAUCUACACCUUCAAUGCCAGUCCCACAAAGGCUGAAGAAAUAUGUUACGUCUCCAAAGACAUAUACCUCUAAAGAACACAGUCAUGCCCUAAAAUUAGGACAUGAUUCAGAUCCUCGCAGAUAUGGUAAAGUCAGCAGAAUUCUGAGCUCCGAGGUUGCUUCAGUGAACAUUCAACGCUGUCG